rnacentral:tRNA from 2 species
GCCCGGGUGGUCUAGUGGUAUGAUUCUCGCUUAGGGAUAAAAACCCAAGCAUAUCUGCGAGAGGUCCCGCGUUCGAUCCGCGGCUCGGGCC